UUGUGGUUUUGGAUGGACUCGCGGCCUAUCAGCUUGUUGGUGAGGUAAUGGCUUACCAAGGCGACGACGGGUAGCCGGCCUGAGAGGGUGACCGGCCACACUGGGACUGAGACACGGCCCAGACUCCUACGGGAGGCAGCAGUGGGGAAUAUUGCACAAUGGGCGCAAGCCUGAUGCAGCGACGCCGCGUGAGGGAUGACGGCCUUCGGGUUGUAAACCUCUUUCAGUAGGGAAGAAGCGAAAGUGACGGUACCUGCAGAAGAAGCGCCGGCUAACUACGUGCCAGCAGCCGCGGUAAUACGUAGGGCGCAAGCGUUAUCCGGAAUUAUUGGGCGUAAAGAGCUCGUAGGCGGUUUGUCGCGUCUGCCGUGAAAGUCCGGGGCUCAACUCCGGAUCUGCGGUGGGUACGGGCAGACUAGAGUGAUGUAGGGGAGACUGGAAUUCCUGGUGUAGCGGUGAAAUGCGCAGAUAUCAGGAGGAACACCGAUGGCGAAGGCAGGUCUCUGGGCAUUAACUGACGCUGAGGAGCGAAAGCAUGGGGAGCGAACAGGAUUAGAUACCCUGGUAGUCCAUGCCGUAAACGUUGGGCACUAGGUGUGGGGGACAUUCCACGUUUUCCGCGCCGUAGCUAACGCAUUAA
rnacentral:rRNA from 1 species